rnacentral:rRNA from 1 species
GAUGAACGCUGGCGGCGUGCCUAAUACAUGCAAGUCGAGCGAACAGACGAGGAGCUUGCUCCUCUGACGUUAGCGGCGGACGGGUGAGUAACACGUGGAUAACCUACCUAUAAGACUGGGAUAACUUCGGGAAACCGGAGCUAAUACCGGAUAAUAUAUUGAACCGCAUGGUUCAAUAGUGAAAGACGGUUUUGCUGUCACUUAUAGAUGGAUCCGCGCCGCAUUAGCUAGUUGGUAAGGUAACGGCUUACCAAGGCAACGAUGCGUAGCCGACCUGAGAGGGUGAUCAGCCACACUGGCACUGGGACACGGUCCCGACUCCUCCGGGAGGGCGCAGUAGGGAAUCUUCCGCAAUGGGCGGAAGCCUGACGGGGCAACGCCGCGUGAGUUAUGCAGGUCUUCGGAUCGUAAAACUCUGUUAUUAGGGAAGAACAAAUGUGUAAGUAACUAUGCACGUCUUGACGGUACCUAAUCAGAAAGCCACGGCUAACUCCGUG